UGGGGAAUUUUGGACAAUGGGGGAAACCCUGAUCCAGCCAUCCCGCGUGUGUGAAGAAGGCCUUCGGGUUGUAAAGCACUUUUGUCCGGAAAGAAAUCCUUGGCUCUAAUACAGUCGGGGGAUGACGGUACCGGAAGAAUAAGCACCGGCUAACUACGUGCCAGCAGCCGCGGUAAUACGUAGGGUGCAAGCGUUAAUCGGAAUUACUGGGCGUAAAGCGUGCGCAGGCGGUUUGCUAAGACCGAUGUGAAAUCCCCGGGCUCAACCUGGGAACUGCAUUGGUGACUGGCAGGCUAGAGUAUGGCAGAGGGGGGUUAGAAUUCCACGUGUAGCAGUGAAAUGCGUAGAGAUGUGGAGGAAUACCGAUGGCGAAGGCAGCCCCCUGGGCCAAUACUGACGCUCAUGCACGAAAGCGUGGGGAGCAAACAGGAUUAGAUACCCUGGUAGUCCACGCCCUAAACGAUGUCAACUAGUUGUUGGGGAUUCAUUUCCUUAGUAACGUAGCUAACGCGUGAAGUUGACCGCCUGGGGAGUACGGUCGCAAGAUU
rnacentral:rRNA from 1 species